AUUGAACGCUGGCGGCAUGCUUUACACAUGCAAGUCGAACGGUAACAGGCCGCAAGGUGCUGACGAGUGGCGAACGGGUGAGUAAUGCAUCGGAACGUGCCCAGUCGUGGGGGAUAACUACUCGAAAGAGUAGCUAAUACCGCAUACGAUCUAUGGAUGAAAGCGGGGGACCGUAAGGCCUCGCGCGAUUGGAGCGGCCGAUGUCAGAUUAGGUAGUUGGUGGGGUAAAGGCUCACCAAGCCAACGAUCUGUAGCUGGUCUGAGAGGACGACCAGCCACACUGGGACUUGAGACAGGCCCCAACCCCUAAGGGGAGGAAGAAUUGGGGAAUUUUGACAAUGGGCGGAAACCUGAUCCCAGAAAGGCGCGUGCAGGGAGAAGGCCUUCGGGUUGUAAACUGCUUUUGUACGGAACGAAACGGCUCUGGUUAAUACCCGGGGCUAAUGACGGUGCCGUAAGAAUAAGCACCGGCUAACUACGUG
rnacentral:rRNA from 1 species